rnacentral:misc_RNA from 1 species
GAUGAAGAACGCAGCGAAAUGCGAUAAGUAAUGUGAAUUGCAGAAUUCAGUGAAUCAUCGAAUCUUUGAACGCACAUUGCGCCCCUUGGUAUUCCGGGGGGCAUGCCUGUUCGAGCGUCAUUACAACCCUCAAGCUCUGCUUGGUCUUGGGCGUCACCGGUCCCCGGUGUGCCUUAAAAUCAGUGGCGGCGCCAUCUGGCUCUAAGCGUAGUACAUACUCUCGCUACAGACGUCCGGUGGAUGCUGGCCAGCAACCCCCAAUUUAUCAAGGUUGACCUAGGAUCAGGUAGGGAUACCCGCUGAACUUAAGCAUAUCAAUAAGCGGAGGA